GGGAAAUCAUAUCUCUUUCAUUCUGUGCUCCUUUGGUUUAAGUGAAGCAAACCUCACUCCAGCCCUAACCUUUGGGAUAAUCAUUUUAUUAAUCAGCACAUCAUGGUCCUAUGGCCAUAGUAAUCCAAUUGUUCAGGGAUGAGUCUAUAAGAGCUGAUAAAAUGUUUUGCAAGGUUCUUGUAAAAUAAAUCUUUUUCUUUCCUGUGGGAUUUAAGGCUCAAAGGAGGAGCUAUUUUUCCAUCUUGUGAUAAAAAGGGAUGAUGUGAAAAUGGGGCCAUCAGAGCAAGGAAGAGGCCAAGAUGGAGAGCUGGAGUCUCUGAGUCCUGAAUCCAGCCAUCCCUGCAGCCACUCCACCUGUGGAUAUGUCUAUAGCAGGCUGGGAUCAGACAGGUUCCCUGUGACUACCAAGAGAACGGUUGUCACUUCUGCCUAUGUAUCUUUCCAGCAGGGCUGGGACCACAUGGGAAGGUCUAAAAGAGUCAUGGAGAUGCUGUGGUGAGGGGAGAGGCCAGGCUUAGAGACCUUCAAGAUCUUCAACACCCCCCCAACCCCAACUCUGCACUCCAAAUGGCCACUCUCCAAACACACCCCUGGAAAACAACCAAUGCUCCUCAGAGUGUUUGACUCCUGAUACCACUUAUCUGGUGAUAAGAACUUUUGGGCCAGGCACAGUGGCUCAUCCCUGUAAUCCCAGCACUUUGGGAGGCCAAACCAGGUGGAUCACUUGAGGUCAGGAAUUCAAGACCAGCCUGGCCUGCAGCAUGGUGAAACCCCUUCUCUACAAAAAAUAUGAAAAAUUAGCCAGGUGCGGUGGUGAGUGCCUGUAAUCCCAGCAACUCGGGAGGCUGAGGCAGGAGAAUCACUUGAACCUGGGAGGCAGAGGUUGCAAUGAGCUGAGAUUGCGCCACUGCACUCCAGCCUCGGGGACAGAGCAAGACUCAGUCUCAAAAAAAAAAAAAAAAAAAAAAAGAACUCAUGGAACUCUCCAAAGAGCAAAGAUAAUUAACUGAAAAACUAAAACAAAACAAAAUGAAAACACAAAAACUCCCUUUAACAUGUAUGCAAUCUGUUUGAAUAUAGUCACUUGAGCUGAAAAGAUGUUCACAAAAGCACAGAGUGGCUUCUCUGGCAUUAAAACAAGAUUGAGAAUCACUGCUUUAGUGUAAAAUCACCCCCUGCUGGGCCUCAUCUCCAUUUCUCUUACACUGGGACUGGUAGGCCAGCUAUCAAAGAAAACAUCUGAGUAGGUCGGUCUCUACGGAGGUCAGCACCAACCAGCAAGGCCAGGUUCCUUGCCUAGAAAACAGCUCUUAAGGUUAGCACAACCUACCUAAACCGACGCCCACUUCCCUCUCUGGUGAGCCAUCUCCUGCCCUCCCCUUGGACAAGCCCCUACUCUAGCCACCCUGGACACCAUGGCUGGAGUCCCAUACUUGACUUUCUCCUCUGUCUACACUGAAACACAGCCAAUUUUAGCCAGUAAAUGUUAAUCACCUUAGAGGAUCUCAGAUAAGGACAACACAAAUCCACUCUUUUGCAGCAGCUCUAAUGUUAGGGGUCUCAAGUUUUAACUAAAGUGUCCUGACCUCCCUCACUGUGGAAAGGCCUAAAACAAGUCUGAAGGGUAAUGGAUUAGAAACAGACAGUUGAGCUGAAAGGAUGUUGGCUGCAAAUCACCACGGGCUUGGUAUCCAACAAAUUCACAUGGUCUGGUCUGUUAGGAGCACUGGUAAAAGCCCUUAACAACUGGCUCUCUGGGUAAAGAAAAAAGGAGGGGUGGGAAGCCCAGAUUUGUGGCAUUUGCUCAUUUCAUGGUAUUAAAUGGUAUCCCACCAUGGCAGAUUUCAAAAUAUCAACUUGACAUCAACCAGCUCACAAAAUCCUGAAAAAUGUAAUGAUUAGCGAGUGUGAGCCAGCACAACUGAGGAUGCGGUCUGAUGUCAGGCCAAAGAGAAUAUAAGUAUUAUUCACUUCAAAUUUAAAUAUGUAAAACUGGCAAAAAAAUUCAAGUGCCUCAAGGCCUUCUUUUUAAACUUAGGCACAGAUACUAGCAAGCUUUACCCAUAUCAAUAAACUGGGCCGGGCGCGGUGGCUCACGCCUGUAAUCCCAGCACUUUGGGAGGCCGAGGCGGGUGGAUCACGAGGUCAGGAGAUCAAGGCCAUUCUGGCUAACACUGUGAAACCCCGUCUCUACUAAAAAUACAAAAAAUUAGCCGGGCAUGGUGGCGGGCGCCUGCAGUCCCAGCUACUCUCCAGGCUGAGGCAGGAGAAUGGGGUGAACCCAGGAGGCGGAGCUUGCAGUGAGCCGAGAUGGCGCCUGGGCAACAGAGCGAGACUCUGUCUCAAAAACAAAACAAAACAAAAAAACAAAAUAAACUGAUACAGCCAAUGAAAACAAUAAUACAUUACUCACCUUAUAAACAGUGUCCACAUAAUUUACUGUUCAAACUAGAGUUUCUGAGAGUGUUAUAUGAGACAACAGGAGUAAGCCAGAGCUGUGUUAGUCAAACUAGGACAUGACUUCUUCUUUUUUAGAUGUACUAAUAGUAGCUUCUUGCCAAAGGGCUUCUUAUUACUUCAUGGUGGAAAACAAUGUUUUAUUUAUGUAGCUAUUUACCAUCCAGGCAGGUAACUUAUUGAGUACCACGGGUGACUAUUAUGCUUCGAG
rnacentral:lncRNA from 10 species